AAUUAAAAGUAUCAAUACACUCCUCCACCACCGAAUCUUCCGCGUCUCUCUUCUCGGUCGGUCGGAGCUCUACGCCAGUUAAGAGGAGAAGUGUGAUCGGAGAGUGAAAUCCACCAACCGACGACCGUUCCUUCCACAUCAUCCUCAGAGAACCUAUGAGUGCACUGUUCAUAGUUGCAGUCUGGGUUUGAUGUACUAUCAUCCAUGCAAAAUGGCAAAAAUGGAGGAAGAUACAUCUGUCACCCAGUAUGAAGAUUACACGAAAAAAGUCCAAUUCAGAAUUAAAAGUAUCAAUACACUCCUCCACCACCGAAUCCUCCGCGUCUCUCUUCUCGGUCGGUCGGAGCUCUACGCCAGUUAAGAGGAGAAGUGUGAUCGGAGAGUGAAAUCCACCAACCGACGACCGUUCCUUCCACAUCAUCCUCAGAGAACCUAUGAGUGCACUGUUCAUAGUUGCAGUCUGGGUUUGAUGUACUAUCA